rnacentral:rRNA from 1 species
AUGAACGCUGGCGGCGUGCCUAAUCCCUGCCAGUCGCGCGAACAGACGAGGAGCUUGCUCCUCUGACGUUAGCGGCGGACGGGUGAGUAACACGUGGAUAACCUACCUAUAAGACUGGGAUAACUUCGGGAAACCGGAGCUAAUACCGGAUAAUAUAUUGAACCGCAUGGUUCAAUAGUGAAAGACGGUUUUGCUGUCACUUAUAGAUGGAUCCGCGCCGCAUUAGCUAGUUGGUAAGGUAACGGCUUACCAAGGCGACGAUGCGUAGCCGACCUGAGAGGGUGAUCGGCCACACUGGAACUGAGGCACGGUCCAGACUCCUACGGGAGACAGCAGUAGGGAAUCUUCCGCAAUGGGCGAAAGCCUGACGGAGCAACGCCGCGUGAGUGAUGAAGGUCUUCGGAUCGUAAAACUCUGUUAUUAGGGAAGAACAAAUGUGUAAGUAACUAUGCACGUCUUGACGGUACCUAAUCAGAAAGCCACGGCUAACUACGUG